ACAGUACAAACUGAUCAGGCCGGAGCUUUUUACCUGGAGCCGGGUUACUUAUGUAACAGUGGAUUUUUAACCACGGGACAGU
rnacentral:ncRNA from 1 species